UACGUAGGGGGCAAGCGUUGUCCGGAUUAUUGGGCGUAAAGAGCGUGUAGGCGGCCAGAUAGGUCCGUUGUGAAAACUGGAGGCUUAACCUCCAGCGGUCGAUGGAAACCAUUUGGCUAGAGUCCGGAAGAGGAGAGUGGAAUUCCUGGUGUAGCGGUGAAAUGCGCAGAUAUCAGGAAGAACACCAAUGGCGAAGGGCAGCUCUCUGGGACGGUACUGACACUGAGACACGAAAGCGUGGGUAGCAAACAGG
rnacentral:rRNA from 1 species